GACGAACGCUGGCGGCGUGCUUAACACAUGCAAGUCGAACGGAAAGACCCUGCUUUUGUGGGGUGCUCGAGUGGCGAACGGGUGAGUAACACGUGAGUAACCUGCCCUUAACUUUGGGGUAACUUCAGGAGACUGCGGCUAAUACCGGGUAUAAGAUCCUGAAGCGUGGGGUGGGUUGGAGAGUUUCGGCGGUAGGGGAUGGAAUGGCGGGUUAUCAGCUGGUUGGUGGGGUAGUGGAUUUCCAAGCCUUUGACGGGUAGCCGGCCUGGGAGGCUGGCCGGCGUCAUGGGGACUGCGAGAGGGAGCAGAAGGGUACGGGAGGCAGUAGGGGGGAAUAUUGCGCAAUGGGCCGAAGUCUGAUGUAGCAACGCUGCGUUCGUGAUGACGUGCUUCGGGGUGUAAACCGCUGUCGCCGGUGACGAAGCGUGAGUGACGGUAACGGGUAAAGAAGCAACGGCUAACUACGUG
rnacentral:rRNA from 1 species